CAGAGUUGCAAAACUCCCUAAACCAUUGUGAACCGUACCUUCUAACCGCUUGCUUCGGCGGGCGGGCCCAGGGUCUCCCCGGGCGCCCCUGGGCCCCCUCGCGGGCGCCCGCCGGAGGAUACCCAAACUCUUGACAUUAGUGGCCUCUCUGAGUAUUCUGUUACUGAAUAAGUCA
rnacentral:misc_RNA from 1 species